UAAGGAAUAUUGGUCAAUGGAGGCAACUCUGAACCAGCCAUGCCGCGUGCAGGAUGAAGGCCCUAUGGGUCGUAAACUGCUUUUAUACCAGAGAAAACCCUUCCACGUGUGGAAGGCUGAUAGUAUGGUAAGAAUAAGCAUCGGCUAACUUCGUGCCAGCAGCCGCGGUAAGACGAAGGAUGCAAGCGUUAUCCGGAUUCAUUGGGUUUAAAGGGUGCGUAGGCGGACUUGUAAGUCAGUGGUGAAAUCUCUCAGCUUAACUGAGAAACUGCCAUUGAUACUGCAGGUCUAGAGUAUAGAUGACGUUGGCGGAAUAUGACAUGUAGUGGUGAAAUACUUAGAUAUGUCAUAGAACACCGAUUGCGAAGGCAGCUAACGAAACUAUAACUGACGCUGAGGCACGAAAGUGCGGGGAUCAAACAGGAUUAGAUACCCAUGUAGUCCCUGAGCGGGCUGGCAAGGCG
rnacentral:rRNA from 1 species